rnacentral:misc_RNA from 1 species
GAUGAAGAACGUAGCGAAAUGCGAUAAGUAGUGUGAAUUGCAGAAUUCCGUGAAUCAUCGAAUCUUUGAACGCACAUUGCGCCUUCUGGUAUUCCGGAAGGCAUGCCUGUUCGAGAGUCAUUAACAACCGUUUCGAUCCCUUUCUUUCAGAAAUUACAAAGAGGAAAAGGGUUUGGUUAUGGUGGAGGAGGGAAAGGGAGCGUUUAGCCUGUAAAAAAAGAGGCUGUGUUCCGCCUCCCCCCCAAAAUUGUACAGGCGGUCGUGUGCGCCCACGCAUCGAGGUGUUGUAAAAGCUGCCACGGCACUUUUCACCUGUGCAGUGCGAGAUUGGCCAGCCGGUUUAAAAACCCCUCCAAACAAUCAAAGGUUGACCUCGGAUCACGUAGGGAUACCCGCUGAACUUAAGCAUAUCAAUAAGCGGAGGA